rnacentral:rRNA from 1 species
CACGUAGGGUGCGAGCGUUUGUCCGGAAUCAUUGGGCGUAAAGCGCGCGUAGGCGGCCAGAUAAGUCCGGUGUGAAAGUCACAGGCUCAACCUGUGAAUGCCGCUGGAAACUGUCUGGCUUGAGUCCGGAAGGGGCGAGUGGAAUUCCUGGUGUAGCGGUGAAAUGCGCAGAUAUCAGGAGGAACACCAAUGGCGAAGGCAGCUCGCUGGAACGGUACUGACGCUGAGGCGCGAAAAGCGUGGGGAGCGAACAGG